rnacentral:rRNA from 1 species
CCUACGGGAGGCAGCAGUGAGGAAUAUUGGUCAAUGGACGAGAGUCUGAACCAGCCAAGUAGCGUGAAGGAUGACUGCCCUAUGGGUUGUAAACUUCUUUUAUAAAGGAAUAAAACGAGGCACGUGUGCCUGUUUGCAUGUACUUUAUGAAUAAGCAUCGGCUAACUCCGUGCCAGCAGCCGCGGUAAUACGGAGGAUCCGAGCGUUAUCCGGAUUUAUUGGGUUUAAAGGGAGCGUAGAUGGGUUGUUAAGUCAGUGGUGAAAGUUUGCGGCUCAACCGUAAAAUUGCAAUUGAUACUGGCAGUCUUGAGUACAGGUGAGGUAGGCGGAAUGCGCGGUGUAGCGGUGAAAUGCUUAGAUAUCACGAAGAACCCCGAUUGCGAAGGCAGCAUACCAACCGGUGACUGACAUUGAUGCUCGAAAGUGUGGGUAUCAAACAGGAUUAGAUACCCCAGUAGUC